GACGAACGCUGGCGGCGUGCUUAACACAUGCAAGUCGAACGGAAAGGCCCUGCUUUUGUGGGGUGCUCGAGUGGCGAACGGGUGAGUAACACGUGAGUAACCUGCCCUUGACUUUGGGAUAACUUCAGGAAACUGGGGUUAAUACCGGAUAGGAGUUCCUGCUGCAUGGUGGGGGUUGGAAAGUUUCGGGGGUUGGGGAUGGACUCCCGGUUUUUACGUUUGUUGGUGGGGUAGUGGCUUACCAAGGCUUGGAUGGGCAGCCGGCCUGGGAGGGGGACCGGCCCAAUUGGGACGGGAGAAGGGCCCGAAUCCCAACGGGGGGAGAGGGGGGGGAAAUUUGCAAAAGGGGGGGAAGCCGGAGGAGAGAAGCCCCGGGGGGGGAGAACGGCCUUCGGGUUGUAAACCCGUUUAGCCGGGGAGGAAGUGGUGGUGACGGUAACGGGAGAAGAAGCACCGGCUAACUACGUG
rnacentral:rRNA from 1 species